UUUAAUCAAAUUAUAUCAAAUGUUUUGAUAUCGGCAUCAAAACUGGGUAUAAAGGUAUAAAAUUGGCAAAGACAAACAGCUCCUGCGGAUCGAAGGGAAACUCGGUGGUGAAAUUCGUAAGAAAUAGAGCUCGCACAGUGUCGGCAUUUUGAAACCAAACGGCCAGUAGACGAAAUACUGUGGCUCCGCAUACAGCCGCAAAGAAACCACGCCAAUAAUUGCGUACAGCAAAAUAUGUUGUGGUUACCUCAAUGCUGAAAAGGACACCUAAGUGCCGCAAAACAGGCACCAACGCCAACAGCACAGGCAGCCGCUAACAUUUCCGAAUUGCGCGACUCAUUCUCAUAGAUGCCUUGGAAUGAUGUGACAAGUUUACUUAAUAAUUGUGCUACAAUACUUGCUAUGUGUACGAAAGGACCCUAAGAUACAGGAUGCAAUUGAUGAUAUACAUUUUAGAUUUUCCAAUCGA